GUUUUAAUAGUUUAAUAAAAACAUUGGUCUUGUAAAUCAAAAAUAAGACUUUAUUCUUUUAAAACU
rnacentral:tRNA from 1 species